rnacentral:rRNA from 1 species
GACGAACGCUGGCGGCGUGCUUAACACAUGCAAGUCGAACGGGCCCGCCCCUGUUUUUGGGGGUGGGUUGAGUGGCGAACGGGUGAGUAUCACGUGAGUAACCUGCCCCCUGCUCCUGGAUAACUGCUUGAAAGGGCGGCUAAUACGGGGUGUGCCGGCUGGUCCGCAUGGGCCUGGUCGGGAUAGUUUCAUCUUCGGGUGUUUCGGUGGGGGAUGGGCUCGCGGCCUAUCAGCUUGUUGGUGGGGUGAUGGCCCACCAAGGCGGUGACGGGUAGCCGGCCUGGGAGGGUGGGCGGCCACACUGGGACUGAGACACGGCCCAGACUCCUGCGGGAGGCAGCAGUGGGGGGUAUUGCACAAUGGGCGGAAGCCUGAUGCAGCGACGUCGCGUGAGGGAUGGAGGCCUUCGGGUUGUGAACCUCUUUCUCCGGUGGUGAAGGCCCUGUCCGUUGCGGCGGGGUUGACGGUAGCCGGGGAUGAAGCGCCGGCUAACUACGUG